rnacentral:rRNA from 1 species
GAUGAACGCUAGCGGCAUGCUUAACACAUGCAAGUCGAGGGGCAGCAUGGUCUUAGCUUGCUACUACUGAUGGCGACCGGCGCACGGGUGCGUAAUGCGUAUGCAACUUGUCUCACAGAGGGGGCUAACCCGUCGAAAAACGGACUAAUACCGCGUAUUCUUGGGAUAGGGCUUCCUGAUCCAAGGAAAUGAAGUUCGCUGUGAGAUAGGCAUGCGUCCUAUUGGCUGGUUGGUGAGGUAACGGCUCACCAAGGCGCCGAUGGGUAGGGGAACUGAGAGGUGGAACCCCCGCACUGGUACUGAGACACGGACCAGGCUGCGACGCAGCGGAGCAGUAGGGAAUGUUGGGGGAGGGGCGAGGGCCUAACCCAGCCAAGUCGGGUGAAGGAGGACUGUGUUAGGGAUAGUAAACUUCUUGGGUACGGGAAUAGCGAGAGUCACGGGGGGCUCCUUGCAUGUACCGAAUGAAUAAGCAACGGCUAACUCCGUG